GAUGAACGCUGGCGGCGUGCCUAAUACAUGCAAGUCGAGCGAACAGACGAGGAGCUUGCUCCUCUGACGUUAGCGGCGGACGGGUGAGUAACACGUGGAUAACCUACCUAUAAGACUGGGAUAACUUCGGGAAACCGGAGCUAAUACCGGAUAACAUGUUGAACCGCAUGGUUCAACAGUGAAAGACGGUCUUGCUGUCACUUAUGGAUGGAUCCGCGCCGCAUUAGCUAGUUGGUAAGGUAACGGCUUACCAAGGCAACGAUGCGUAGCCGACCUGAGAGGGUGAUCGGCCACACUGGAACUGAGACACGGUCCAGACUCCUACGGGAGGCAGCAGUAGGAAAUCUUCCGCAAUGGGCGAAAGCCUGACGGAGCAACGCCGCGUGAGUGAAGAAGGUCUUCGGAUCGUAAAACUCUGUUAUUAGGGAAGAACAAAUGUGUAAGUAACUAUGCACGUCUUGACGGUACCUAAUCAGAAAGCCACGGCUAACUACGUG
rnacentral:rRNA from 1 species